AGAACUGAAGAAAGUUUAUGGAUGGCACAGGGGAACACGAUUGCACUGAACUUGACAAACUGAACCUAACUACUAGUGGUUGCUCAAUGAGUCAUUUAAAAGAAAGUUCUUAAGAUUAUAAUAUGAAAUUAUGAUCAGAGUUUGCAUCAUUGCUCUCAAUUUAAAAGUAAAAUUAUUUAUGAUAUAGCUCAGCCUUCAUUUGUUUUAACUUGAUGACUACAUCUCGUGACAUCACAGCAAUACCACAUGUCAUGGAGGCAACCAGCUUGUGUCACUGCUAAGGUGUUAUGGAUGUCCAGGGGUCUGUUUCACAAAGCAGGUUUAGUGAAAACCGAGUCUGUUAACCCUGAAAUGAGGGAAACUCGGAGUUUUCCGUUUCAAAAAGGGAGGUAACGCAAACCAGAGAAAGAGGGGUUACCCUAGCCUGUUUCACAGAGAGGGGUAACUUAAGCUCUCGGUCAGUUACCGUAGUAACAGAGUCUGAACCUAACCUGGUCGGGACCAGAGGUCCGUUUCACAAAGCAGGUUCAACAAACUGAGUGCAACUCUGAACUCUGAGUUGAUCUACUCUGAGAUAGGAAACUCUGAGUUUUCGGUUCCAGAACGGCUGAUUUGAGUAGUUUCACCCGGAGUUACGCGCGUGCACCACAACUCUGAAAAGCCAGUAUCAAUGGAGCGUCGAUUCGACGAGUCACCAUGGCAACGGGGAAGCGGAGGACUGCGUUUUUCACCCCACCUGAAUUGGAAAUCUUAAUGCGCUUAUAUAGCGAGUUUGAACACGUUUUUAGAAAGAAGUGCAACACCGCUGCAGCUGCAAAAGAGAGGGAGACGGCGUGCUGCCCGGGUCAGUGCAUUCUGAUGGUGCUAUCUGCCUGGUGGAGCCCCUUCACCCCUUCAAGCCACAACAGACCUUAUAACUAUAAGAUGAAGAGGAUGAAACUGUCUGCUGCCUUCCAGGGGGGGAUCCAGAAAGGCAUAUAGAGAGCAUGGCUGGACAGCAGCAGGAUACUCCCUCAACUUCCACUGCACAGAUUGACACAGUGAGAUGGAUGUUCAGUAAACACCAGAGGUUCAGUCCGUGGAAUUAAUUUGCAACUGUAUAAUUUAAUGUCCUCUAUGUAUUCCCAGUUAUCAGUAAAACAGAUUUACAAACUGCACUUGCUGAAAAAAAUCCAGAAAACGGAUAAAGAAAUGCAAUACUUGGACCGCCAGAUUAGGAGGGCAGUUCUGGAAAUUGAAAUACUAGAGCACAAGUUAGAAGUGGGUGCAUGGUCACAGGUGAAUUAUGUUAACUAUUGGAACAUUAACUAAACUAGCUCUUUUAUUUGUAGGAAA